UACGUAGGGUGCGAGCGUUACUCGGAAUUACUGGGCGUAAAGCGUGCGCAGGCGGUCUGUUAAGACCGAUGUGAAAUCCCCGGGCUUAACCUGGGAACUGCAUUGGUGACUGGCAGGCUUUGAGUGUGGCAGAGGGAGGUAGAAUUCCACGUGUAGCAGUGAAAUGCGUAGAGAUGUGGAGGAAUACCGAUGGCGAAGGCAGCCUCCUGGGCAAACACUGACGCUCAUGCACGAAAGCGUGGGGAGCAAACAGG
rnacentral:rRNA from 1 species